rnacentral:ncRNA from 2 species
AAGAACGGCCAUGCACCACCACCC